GCCUGGGUGGCUAAGUAGUUAAGUGUCUGACUUCAGCUCAGGUCAUGAACUCACAGUUCGUGGGUUCGAGCCCCGUGUCGGGCU
rnacentral:tRNA from 1 species